GGCUUCGUAGCUCAGCUGGUAGAGCGCUUGCUGCAAUUAGGUAUACUACUUCUGCUGCUAGUUGGAAUCAAGUCGAAGCCC